GCAGGUCUGUCAGGGAUUGUCGCAGGCAAAACCUUAUCGGAUAAUGGAAUCCAUGAUUUCUUGAUCCUAGAGGGACAGGACUGUAUCGGUGGUAGAAUCAAACAGGUUGAAAUCGCAGGCUAUAGAAUCGAGAAAGGUGCAAACUGGAUUCACUUUUAUGACGACGAGGAAUCAGCCCCAUUGUGGAAUGCUAAACUCAAAAAUAAUUUAAGAGGCAUAAUAAAUGACUAUUCAAACUUAAUUAUUAGAGAUGAGAAUGGCAAGAACAUUACCAACAAAGCAACUUACGACAAACUCCUCAAAAUAUUCGGGAAUCUUGAAGACGCACAAGAAAAGAGGAAGAAA